rnacentral:misc_RNA from 1 species
AACAAACGUUAAUGCCCAAAAAAGUUAAAAAUAAAUGGCUGCCAUAAAUUACAAGGUCCAUACAUUUCUAUUCUUGUGUGACAAAUUUCUCCAAUAUAAUGCAUCUGGAGAGGCAGGCGUGAGAGAAGUCAUCCAAACCUGUCCUGAAACAUUAUUAACAAGCCCUAUCUAGCAAGUAUGCUCUAUGAAAUACCCUUUUUUUUUUUUUUUUUUCUUGUAGCAAUUCAGUAUACAAAUGGUGACUAAUCAGUUGCAUUUUUAUGUUUGCCUGGUGAGAUUAUCCUAACUGGAAUAACAGUUCUUCCAUAUAUGUUGCCCAUGCCCAUAAAUGCAGCUUCUGAAGCAGAAGUAGUAGACCAAUGCAGAUGGCACACCCACUGCCAUUUGCUUUAGACAUUUCAUAAUAUCAUCUGUUUUUGGUAGAUGAUGAAUGCUUUUAUAUCUCAAGUGUCUUAGAACCCUCCUUAUCUAAAGGGCUUUUUGA